rnacentral:rRNA from 1 species
UGAAUACGAGACGCUAAGGCGUCGAAGUAGUGUAUGUCAUACUUCCAAGAAAAGCUUGCACUGUCAUAAGUAAAAAGUGCCUGUACCAUAACCGACACAGGUGGGUAGGUAGAGUAUACUAAGGGGCGCGAGAUAACUCUCUCUAAGGAACUCGGCAAAAUAACUCCGUAACUUCGGGAGAAGGAGUACCUUAUUCUAUAAGGUUGCAAUAACAAGAUCCAAGCAACUGUUUAUCAAAAACACAGGUCUCCGCUAAGUCGUAAGACGAUGUAUGGGGGCUGACGCCUGCCCAGUGCCAGAAGGCUAAAGAAGUCGGUUAGCAUUAGCGAAGCUGGUAACUGAAGCCCUGGUGAACGGCGGCCGUAACAAUAACGGUCCUAAGGUAGCGAAAUUCCUUGUCGGGUAAGUUCCGACCCGCACGAAAGGCGUAAUGAUUUGGAUACUGUCUCGGAGAGGGGCUCGGUGAAAUAGACUUGUCUGUGAAGAUGCGGACUACCUGCACCAGGACAGAAAGACCCUAUGAAGCUUUACUGUAACUUGAAAUUGAAAUUGGACUUUAUUCGCGCAGUAUAGGUGGGAGGUGUUGAUUAUAAUCUUGCGGGAUUAUUGGAGCCAUCAGUGAGAUACCACUCUUGUAAUGUUAGAUUUCUAACUUUGAAUCAUUAUCUGGUCAAAGGACAGUUUCAGGCGGGCAGUUUGACUGGGGCGGUCGCCUCCCAAACGGUAACGGAGGCGUACAAAGGUUUCCUCUGAACGGGUAGAAAUCGUAUCUAGAGUGUAAAGGCAUAAGGAAGCUUGACUGUGAGACCUACAAGUCGAACAGGGACGAAAGUCGGUCUUAGUGAUCUGACGGUACUGAGUGGAAAGGCCGUCACUCAACGGAUAAAAGUUACUCUAAGGAUAACAGGCUGAUCUCCCCCAAGAGUUCACAUCGACGGGGAGGUUUGGCACCUCGAUGUCGGCUCAUCGCAUCCUGGGGCGGUAGUACGUCCCAAGGGUUGGGCUGUUCGCCCAUGAAAGCGGUACGCGAGCUGGGUUCAGAACGUCGUGAGACAGUUCGGUCCAUAUCCGGUGUAGGCGUUAGAAUAUUGAGAGGAGCCUUCUUUAGUACGAGAGGACCGAGAAGGACAUACCUCUGGUGUACCAGUUAUCGUGCCAACGGUAAACGCUGGGUAGCUAUGUAUGGAGUGGAUAACCGCUGAAAGCAUCUAAGUGGGAAGCCCACCUCAAGAUAAGUAUUCAC